UGGAACUGGAAUUGGAUUUCAGCUCAAUACAAGGAAGGACUGUCCAACAGUCGGGUAAUGCAGUGGGCUGCGGAAACCAUACAGGGAGGUGGCAAGGCUGAAUUCCAGAGCCAGGCCAACCUGAGUUUGCAUGCUGACGAUUUCUUGGUAUGUGACCUUGGCCAACUUACUUAGUCUUCUAAGCCUAUUUUUUCAUCCAUAAAAGAUGAUAGCAGUACUUCUUAGUGUUGUUAUGAAUAAAGUGAGAUAAUACAUGCCUUGUGCAUAUCACAGUGCCUGGCAUAGAGCAAACCCUCCAUAAAUGUUAUCCAGUAUUUGUUAUGAUUCUUAAUGAUGAUUAACGACUGUGCUCUGUCUACCCAUAAUAAGUAGCAGAAAGGAAAUGAUAAAGAUAAGAACAGAAGUUAACACAAUACAAACAAUGAAUUAACAAAUCCAGAAGUUAGUUCUCCACGAGCUCCUGGAAGCGGCUGUGUGUCAAGGCUCUGCUCACAUCUGGCUCCUCAUCUGUGAGCCUUCUUGGCCCAGACUCAGGGGACGGGAAGGGAGGGGAGGGAGAGGAAAGCCAGGAGGACUUCAGGCACCUCUCCCCAAACUGAAAU
rnacentral:lncRNA from 1 species